rnacentral:rRNA from 1 species
UGGGGAAUAUUGCACAAUGGGCGCAAGCCUGAUGCAGCCAUGCCGCGUGUAUGAAGAAGGCCUUCGGGUUGUAAAGUACUUUCAGCGAGGAGGAAGGCGUUGUGGUUAAUAACCGCAACGAUUGACGUUACUCGCAGAAGAAGCACCGGCUAACUCCGUGCCAAGCAGCCGCGGUAAUACGGAGGGUGCAAGCGUUAAUCGGAAUUACUGGGCGUAAAGCGCACGCAGGCGGUCUGUCAAGUCGGAUGUGAAAUCCCCCGGGCUCAACCUGGGAACUGCAUCCGAAACUGGCAGGCUAGAGUCUUGUAGAGGGGUA